GAUCAUGGCUCAGGAUGAACGCUAGCUACAGGCUUAACACAUGCAAGUCGAGGGGCAGCAUGGUCUUAGCUUGCUAAGGCCGAUGGCGACCGGCGCACGGGUGAGUAACGCGCAUCCAACCUGCCUUACACUCUUGGACAGCCUUCUGAAAGGGAGAUUAAUACAAGAUGUUAUCAUGAGUGAGCAUUUUCGCAUGAUUAAAGGUUUACCGGUGUAAGAUGGGGA
rnacentral:rRNA from 1 species